rnacentral:lncRNA from 1 species
CUUGCUGUUGCCGAAUCCGCUACUCGAUCCUCAAUUUUGCAAUCAAUAUCCAUGGAAAAAUAAUUAUUGGUCGCACUACUACAUACUCUUAGAGAUAUAUAAUAAAAUCAUUUUUUGUUUAGAACGAUUACAUACACUGAAAAUUAUAAUCAAUAAUUUAAUAUUCAUCCCUUUGGUCAAGCAAGGGAUCCAUCUUCAACAGAUGAAGCAAGAAAUCACUCCAAGAAUCAAUAGGCCCAGGCAAGCACCAAUGUACACAAUCAUUGAGUUCAGUCACAUUCACAUUCUCAGGUAUCCAACGCCAAUAUUUACUGGGGUGCCCAUCUGGCCUUAAUAGCAUAGCUCGUGUUGGAUCAAUCAAUCUAAAUCUCGACCCCUUCUUCUUCCCUUCGAUUUUCGCAACCCUAAAUUCCUUGAGUUGAAUCAUGUAAAAAUCCAUAUUCAUACCUUCCAAAAUACUCUCAUUUCUUUUAAAUGGUCUUUGUCUUAUACAAUUCCCUCCCUCGUUCCACUCCCCAUUUUCAAAGUGGGAUGGUGUAAAAGUCCUUAAAAAGGUUAUCCCUUUGUAGUUUCCUAAAGUAUUUAUUGCUUUAAAAGCUGUUCUGAACGCCCUCUCGUAGCCAUAAGUUAUCCAAAAGUUAGUGACAUUUGGAAUUUUGCAAUAGUUGCACCCCACGAGCUGGUGAUUCUCGUAAUACAUGGCUGGCCGGCGAAACCAUUGCCCGGCACUGAGAAUAAUGUAAUCAAAUUUAUCUAUAUAGUUUGUCCAGGAUUCGUCAAAUUCAUCGAGGUAGAGAUUGAAAAGAUCAGAGUUUUCCUCUUUGGACUUCACGAGAAAGGGCGACCAAAACCGGGCAAUUGUGAAAUUGUAACUCAAAUACUCCGAACCAUUAAAAUGUGCAUCGAUGGGAUUCUCCACCUGAAAUCAAACAAGAUAUUUGUCAUCCAGUUCUAUUCGUACCUGCUAUUCUUCAUCGAAUGAUCAUCAACAUGUGAUAGCCUCCAGGGCACAUACUUAUUUAACUGUAAAAAUGAAAAUACAUAUAAAAUUAUGAAUUUACCC